UAGGGAAUCUUCCACAAUGGACGAAAGUCUGAUGGAGCAACGCCGCGUGAGUGAAGAAGGUUUUCGGAUCGUAAAGCUCUGUUGUUGGUGAAGAAGGAUAGAGGCAGUAACUGGUCUUUAUUUGACGGUAAUCAACCAGAAAGUCACGGCUAACUACGUGCCAGCAGCCGCGGUAAUACGUAGGUGGCAAGCGUUGUCCGGAUUUAUUGGGCGUAAAGCGAGCGCAGGCGGAAUGAUAAGUCUGAUGUGAAAGCCCACGGCUCAACCGUGGAACUGCAUCGGAAACUGUCAUUCUUGAGUGCAGAAGAGGAGAGUGGAACUCCAUGUGUAGCGGUGGAAUGCGUAGAUAUAUGGAAGAACACCAGUGGCGAAGGCGGCUCUCUGGUCUGCAACUGACGCUGAGGCUCGAAAGCAUGGGUAGCGAACAGGAUUAGAUACCCUGGUAGUCCAUGCCGUAAACGAUGAGCGCUAGGUGUUGGGGACUUUCCGGUCCUCAGUGCCGCAGCAAACGCAUUAAGCGCUCCGCCUGGGGAGUACGACCGCAAGGUUGAA
rnacentral:rRNA from 1 species